rnacentral:rRNA from 1 species
GGUUAAGCGACUAAGCGUACACGGUGGAUGCCCUGGCAGUCAGAGGCGAUGAAGGACGUGCUAAUCUGCGAUAAGCGUCGGUAAGGUGAUAUGAACCGUUAUAACCGGCGAUUUCCGAAUGGGGAAACCCAGUGUGAUUCGUCACACUAUCAUUAACUGAAUCCAUAGGUUAAUGAGGCGAACCGGGGGAACUGAAACAUCUAAGUACCCCGAGGAAAAGAAAUCAACCGAGAUUCCCCCAGUAGCGGCGAGCGAACGGGGAGGAGCCCAGAGCCUGAAUCAGUGUGUGUGUUAGUGGAAGCGUCUGGAAAGGCGCGCGAUACAGGGUGACAGCCCCGUACACAAAAAUGCACAUGCUGUGAGCUCGAUGAGUAGGGCGGGACACGUGGUAUCCUGUCUGAAUAUGGGGGGACCAUCCUCCAAGGCUAAAUACUCCUGACUGACCGAUAGUGAACCAGUACCGUGAGGGAAAGGCGAAAAGAACCCCGGCGAGGGGAGUGAAAAAGAACCUGAAACCGUGUACGUACAAGCAGUGGGAGCACGCUUAGGCGUGUGACUGCGUACCUUUUGUAUAAUGGGUCAGCGACUUAUAUUCUGUAGCAAGGUUAACCGAAUAGGGGAGCCGAAGGGAAACCGAGUCUUAACUGGGCGUUAAGUUGCAGGGUAUAGACCCGAAACCCGGUGAUCUAGCCAUGGGCAGGUUGAAGGUUGGGUAACACUAACUGGAGGACCGAACCGACUAAUGUUGAAAAAUUAGCGGAUGACUUGUGGCUGGGGGUGAAAGGCCAAUCAAACCGGGAGAUAGCUGGUUCUCCCCGAAAGCUAUUUAGGUAGCGCCUCGUGAAUUCAUCUCCGGGGGUAGAGCACUGUUUCGGCAAGGGGGUCAUCCCGACUUACCAACCCGAUGCAAACUGCGAAUACCGGAGAAUGUUAUCACGGGAGACACACGGCGGGUGCUAACGUCCGUCGUGAAGAGGGAAACAACCCAGACCGCCAGCUAAGGUCCCAAAGUCAUGGUUAAGUGGGAAACGAUGUGGGAAGGCCCAGACAGCCAGGAUGUUGGCUUAGAAGCAGCCAUCAUUUAAAGAAAGCGUAAUAGCUCACUGGUCGAGUCGGCCUGCGCGGAAGAUGUAACGGGGCUAAACCAUGCACCGAAGCUGCGGCAGCGACGCUUAUGCGUUGUUGGGUAGGGGAGCGUUCUGUAAGCCUGUGAAGGUGUGCUGUGAGGCAUGCUGGAGGUAUCAGAAGUGCGAAUGCUGACAUAAGUAACGAUAAAGCGGGUGAAAAGCCCGCUCGCCGGAAGACCAAGGGUUCCUGUCCAACGUUAAUCGGGGCAGGGUGAGUCGACCCCUAAGGCGAGGCCGAAAGGCGUAGUCGAUGGGAAACAGGUUAAUAUUCCUGUACUUGGUGUUACUGCGAAGGGGGGACGGAGAAGGCUAUGUUGGCCGGGCGACGGUUGUCCCGGUUUAAGCGUGUAGGCUGGUUUUCCAGGCAAAUCCGGAAAAUCAAGGCUGAGGCGUGAUGACGAGGCACUACGGUGCUGAAGCAACAAAUGCCCUGCUUCCAGGAAAAGCCUCUAAGCAUCAGGUAACAUCAAAUCGUACCCCAAACCGACACAGGUGGUCAGGUAGAGAAUACCAAGGCGCUUGAGAGAACUCGGGUGAAGGAACUAGGCAAAAUGGUGCCGUAACUUCGGGAGAAGGCACGCUGAUAUGUAGGUGAAGUCCCUCGCGGAUGGAGCUGAAAUCAGUCGAAGAUACCAGCUGGCUGCAACUGUUUAUUAAAAACACAGCACUGUGCAAACACGAAAGUGGACGUAUACGGUGUGACGCCUGCCCGGUGCCGGAAGGUUAAUUGAUGGGGUUAGCGCAAGCGAAGCUCUUGAUCGAAGCCCCGGUAAACGGCGGCCGUAACUAUAACGGUCCUAAGGUAGCGAAAUUCCUUGUCGGGUAAGUUCCGACCUGCACGAAUGGCGUAAUGAUGGCCAGGCUGUCUCCACCCGAGACUCAGUGAAAUUGAACUCGCUGUGAAGAUGCAGUGUACCCGCGGCAAGACGGAAAGACCCCGUGAACCUUUACUAUAGCUUGACACUGAACAUUGAGCCUUGAUGUGUAGGAUAGGUGGGAGGCUUUGAAGUGUGGACGCCAGUCUGCAUGGAGCCGACCUUGAAAUACCACCCUUUAAUGUUUGAUGUUCUAACGUUGACCCGUAAUCCGGGUUGCGGACAGUGUCUGGUGGGUAGUUUGACUGGGGCGGUCUCCUCCUAAAGAGUAACGGAGGAGCACGAAGGUUGGCUAAUCCUGGUCGGACAUCAGGAGGUUAGUGCAAUGGCAUAAGCCAGCUUGACUGCGAGCGUGACGGCGCGAGCAGGUGCGAAAGCAGGUCAUAGUGAUCCGGUGGUUCUGAAUGGAAGGGCCAUCGCUCAACGGAUAAAAGGUACUCCGGGGAUAACAGGCUGAUACCGCCCAAGAGUUCAUAUCGACGGCGGUGUUUGGCACCUCGAUGUCGGCUCAUCACAUCCUGGGGCUGAAGUAGGUCCCAAGGGUAUGGCUGUUCGCCAUUUAAAGUGGUACGCGAGCUGGGUUUAGAACGUCGUGAGACAGUUCGGUCCCUAUCUGCCGUGGGCGCUGGAGAACUGAGGGGGGCUGCUCCUAGUACGAGAGGACCGGAGUGGACGCAUCACUGGUGUUCGGGUUGUCAUGCCAAUGGCACUGCCCGGUAGCUAAAUGCGGAAGAGAUAAGUGCUGAAAGCAUCUAAGCACGAAACUUGCCCCGAGAUGAGUUCUCCCUGACCCUUUAAGGGUCCUGAAGGAACGUUGAAGACGACGACGUUGAUAGGCCGGGUGUGUAAGCGCAGCGAUGCGUUGAGCUAACCGGUACUAAUGAACCGUGAGGCUUAACCUU